GACGAACGCUGGCGACGUGCCUAAUACAUGCAAGUUGAGCGAUGAAGAUUGGUGCUUGCACCAAUUUGAAGAGCAGCGAACGGGUGAGUAACGCGUGGGGAAUCUGCCUUUGAGCGGGGGACAACAUUUGGAAACGAAUGCUAAUACCGCAUAACAACUUUAAACAUAAGUUUUAAGUUUGAAAGAUGCAAUUGCAUCACUCAAAGAUGAUCCCGCGUUGUAUUAGCUAGUUGGUGAGGUAAAGGCUCACCAAGGCGAUGAUACAUAGCCGACCUGAGAGGGUGAUCGGACAAAUUGGGACUGAGAGACGGCCAAAACUACUACGGGAGGCAGCAGUCGGGAAUCUUCGGCAAUGGAAGAAAGUCUGACCGAGCAACGCCGCGUGAGUGAAGAAGGUUGUCGGAUCGUAAAAAUCUGUUGGUAGAGAAGAACGUUGGUGAGAGUGGAAAGCUCAUAAAGUGACGGUAACUACACAGAAAGGGACGGCUAACUACGUG
rnacentral:rRNA from 1 species